UACCAGCACCCCGAGUGGUCGGGACGUUUAUUGGGCCUAAAGCAUCCGUAGCCGGUUCUACAAGUCUUCCGUUAAAUCCAACUGCUUAACAGGUGGGCUGCGGAAGAUACUAUAGAGCUAGGAGGCGGGAGAGGCAAGCGGUACUCGAUGGGUAGGGGUAAAAUCCGUUGAUCCAUUGAAGACCACCAGUGGCGAAGGCGGCUUGCCAGAACGCGCUCGACGGUGAGGGAUGAAAGCUGGGGAGCAAACCGG
rnacentral:rRNA from 1 species